rnacentral:lncRNA from 1 species
CCAGAUUUUUCACCAAAAACACAUGCAAGUUCCUAACUAAAGUGAGAAUAGGGUUACCCGGCUUCUACGCUACCGGAGAAGAACAGCCUUCAAAUGUGCAGGGAAAACCCUAACUCCAUUCAGUGUAAAUCCGACGCUUGUGAAUCCGUCGGAAUCAAAUACGAAAGGUGUCAGAAGUCUACACGAAACACCGAGCUUGAGAAACUAUCAACAAGCGAGACUGAAAGGAAAGUCUUAUUCACAGUUAGCUGAAAGCGCACAAAAUACCAAAUCAUCGUUGAUACCUCAACAGUGCUGGACCGGAAAGACAAAGAACCGGAAAAAACAAGCUCUCAUACCAUGAGAACAUGGACCAUCGAAGAUGGAGAGAAAGAGGGAUUUUCCUUUUCGCUUAUUCAGAGAACUCUCUAGAGAGCCAAAUGAG